AAACAAUUUCUCUCAUUUUCUUCAGCAGUUUUAGCUCCAGGCUGUAGAGCUUAGUUUCUUAGUUUCUCUCUUCCAGGAUCCGUUCAACCUUCCUCCUCUUUUCACUGCAAAGAUCAGCAGAGCUUUGAUCAAUAACUGGAUGCAAAAGAGCAGAAAAUGACACCCAGAGAAGGAAUGUUUCAUUGACUUACUCUACACACUUCAUUGCUCUCAAGGUCCAAGCUUUCAAAGGGUCAGCACACACGAACCUGCCGCCGAGGUGGAAGCUGGAACACAGAGAGGAACAAGCACAUGAAUGAGCCGUCACUACCUACAGCUGCUGUGGAAAACCUGCUCAGUGUCUCUGCUGGAUGUUUAACCAGCUUUAACUCAUCACCCAUUAGAUUUGAUCCCUGGACUGAUCCAUGGACCGGACCAGCAACUCGCUCUGAAUGGAACCAAACGAUGACAAAACACA